rnacentral:tRNA from 1 species
UAGCCUAGUAGUUAAGGCUAUGGAUUGCCAAUCCGGAGACGGUGGGUUCGAUUCCCGU